rfam:Picea glauca, whole genome shotgun sequence.
UUAACGGUGUCUUUAGACAUCACCCUUUGUCCUAAAAGAAAAGUGU